AUGGAGUGUUUGUUAGAAAUAAUGUAUCUUAACUCCGACAAAUGGUUCCUGCUUGACAGAGAUCAGUAUCAAUGGAAGAGGCCGAGCACAAGCAGACUGCAACAGAUGCAACAGAAGGAUGACAGUUCAAAGAAAAAGCUGGUCAGCGAGAAGAGCAUUUUCUCAAACCCUUCCCUCUUCACCCGAGGCAGUCAAGGAGUGGCCAUUGCAAGUCAGCUAAGCGAGUUGUCUUCGUACCAGUCUUCCUGUGGAGGAGUGACCCCUGAGAGACUCCUCACCUGCUGGUCUGAGACUCAGAGCUGUGAUACAGGCCUCUCUACUGAACAGAGCUCUCUCUACUCAUGGAGAUAUGAUGUAUGAGCGCACACAC
rnacentral:lncRNA from 13 species